AAGCCUGAGAGGUUCCCUGUGCCCCGGUCACCUCUAUGGAAAUUUCUAUGUUCCAGAAAAAAACAGCAGAAGAUACAAAACAGACAAGAACGGAGCUGUGUUACACUUAUCAUGUCAGCUGACUCAGAGCCUUGUCAUUGCAUGAGCUGAGCGGCUGCCGACCUGACUGGGUACAAGGUGCA